GAUGAAGAACGUAGCGAAAAUGCGAUAAGUAAUGUGAAUUGCAGAAUUCAGUGAAUCAUCGAAUCUUUGAACGCACAUUGCGCCCGCUAGUAUUCUGGCGGGCAUGCCUGUCCGAGCGUCAUUUCAACCCUCAAGCCCCCGGGCUUGGUGUUGGGGAUCGGCGAGCCUCCGCGCCCGCCGUCCCCUAAAUCUAGUGGCGGUCUCGCUGUAGCUUCCUCUGCGUAGUAGCACACCUCGCACUGGGAAACAGCGCGGCCACGCCGUUAAACCCCCAACUUCUGAACGUUUGACCUCGGAUCAGGUAGGAAUACCCGCUGAACUUAAGCAUAUCAAUAAGCGGAGGA
rnacentral:misc_RNA from 1 species